UAUACGCGGCUUGCAACAAGCGCAGGAGGGAUGUUGCGGUCGCGUUUGACAUGCCAAACAAACAGUUUGGGCGUCACUUUCGCGUUAGUAAAGCAACAGCGCGACGAUGUCGCCGAUAAAUUCGCAAGCUGCGCUCUCAGUGGAGCGGCAAAGUGUGUGUGUGCGCCCCGCGUUUCUUCACCACUGGAACCUUCAAGUCAUCGGUGGGAGGUGAGGACACCGUAACAGUGACGCAGCCCAUGGUCAGCAUUUGUGUGCGACGUGUGGCUGGAGCGAUCAUCAACACCGGGACCCACAACAAGUGGGUUCACUUCCCGAGGACGGCGGAGGAGAUUGCAGUGGUGAAGGAAUAAUUCCUUCGGUUUAGACCUCUACCAUGCGUGAUCGGAUGCAUUGACGGCAGCUUAGUCACAGCAAGGAGUGAGAAGAAGGCACCUUUCUGGCGCCGCGAAGGUUAUUGUGCCCUCAACGUCAUGCUCAUUUGAGUCGCGGAUAUGCCGAUUCUCGCCGUGAACCUGCUGCGACCGGGAUCGGAUGACGACAACCACAUCUGCGUGGGUGUGCGACUGUGACUAGCAACUACCAUUUUACGUGUGAUGGUGGCUGCCCCCUCGAGCCUUGGCUUAUGGUCCUGGUAAAAGACUGUUUUCACAUGAAUAGUGCAGAAGGCAAGUGCACCACUACACAUGCUUCAUUGUGUUCUACAGUGGAGCAUCGUAUUGGCGGCUACUCAAAAGCCGUUUUCGCUGCGUUUAGCGGCACCGUACCCUCCACUACAGACCACAACCUUCCUCUAGUAUUGUUGCUGCAUGUUAACAAUGUUGCAGAACCUUUGUAUAGAAGGUGACAUUGGUUUUGGUGGUUUCAACGAUGACAGUGGUCACGAGGACAGCGAGCAUGGCAGCUCUCUAGGUUAUGACCACGAGCCUCGAUUUACAAGGGGAAAGUCAGCAUACUGAGUGUAAUUGCGUGGGAAAGCUGUCCGCAACAGCGUUAUCAGCUUGUUUGGCAUGACAAGGCAGCGACACCUGCAGUAUUUAAGAAAAGUGUGCAGGUGACUGCACUGCCUGCAGCAGCUACCUGUAUUGUUAAAAUAUUUGUGGUGCAUUGCAAGAGCUUAAGCGUCCGCAGUUCUUUAACGUUCACCUAAUACGAAGUAAACCGAUGUUUCUGCAUUUUACCCUCAUGUGAUCUCGCAACCACUGCUGUCAGCAGUAAUGGGACACACGUCCGCAAAUCUAGUAGUGUGACAUCUUAUGUGAUCAGCUGCUACGGAGUUUCCAGAAACUUAGCUAGGAAUUAUGAAGCAGCGACAGAGUGCAGCCGACUCACUAGGAAAGAAUCACUUUGGUAAAGUUUUGUAAUUGUAAUGGUUGAUUGGGUUUUAUGAGCUGAAACCACGAUAUGAUUACAAGGCACACUUCACUUCAGGUCUUCCAACAAAUCGAACACCCCAGGUUCUGAAAUGUGCAUGUAAAUGCUACGCAGGCCUCUUGAAUUCUACUUCAAUUGAAGUACGACCUCCACAGCUUCGAUCAUGCUCGUGUGAUCCGGGUCAGAGGUGAAGCACUGUAACCACUGUACACCAGUAUCAACUUUGUCGCUGCUGCAGUCGCCGACAAUUGUUAGCGCCAUCUGAACUACGCCUGUGCACUGUCUCUCGCUUCCUGUCUAGGCAACGCACACCUGCUACACUCAGUUACCUUUUGUGGCACAUUCACCGCACUUUCUUUGGAAUGAAACUACCGAUGCUGAAACAGAUAGUCAGGUAUUUCAAGUACAUUUUUCUCAUUUGUAAAUGCUGAAAUAACGUGAAAAAAUAAGUACGCACUCUUUCUUUCAAGUCGGAACUUUGUAACUUGAAAAUUAUUUUAUUCAUGCUCAUACUGAUUCCAAGAUGGCACACACUUUCUGCAAAUAAAUUGCCGUAGUGAAACCACAGUGUCACGUUUUCACAGCCAAGAUUUAUUACAGUACACAGUACACACAUUCCAAGAAACAUGCAUUAAUUGUCUCAGAAGGAUGACAAGCACACGUAAAAGUAAUGUGUGAAGAUAGGCGCACAUGGCUGUGAAAAACGAGAUGAUUGAACACUGUUAUGCACCACACUUGUAUUGAGAAGCUGACUUGCAAGUAAAACGACACUAAAGAAAGAAAAGUUAAAAGGGAGAAAAUCAUGCCCAUAGCCGUUACUGUUGUGGUGACAGCAAAGGCUGAGGAGUUCCAGGCACAACGUCAGCGAGGGUAGCCGAACGCAAGCCCCUCACUUCAUCAACAAGCUCCAGAUGAUGUAGGCAAAUCAUGGUAUGUAUUGCAGACCAUGUAAUGCAAAAUUAUACAGGAAACACAAGUGACGCUCCACCUGUUUGAGUCGGACCGGCAGCGAAACAUGGCAUUUGUGAUUGUCUUGGAAGAGAAACUUUAUUAUCAAGAUAAAAAAGUCAACCUUUUUUUUUGCCCAUUUGUAACACAGCCCAACCACAAAAAGUCAAACAGAUUGGCUUCACUUGACUUCUUCUAAACCUUGGCACAAACACUUCAUUGUAGCAUUGUUAAGUAUGACCUUGCACUUCAGCCUCAUCUACAUAAUAAAAGGUUGGAGAACUU
rnacentral:lncRNA from 1 species